CCAGGUAUGGGCGAACUUUGUCCCUCCAGGUGUUUUGGACUUCAACUCCCACCAUUCCUAACUGUUAGGAAUGGUGGGAGUUGAAGUCCAAAACACCUGGAGGGACAAAGUUCGCCCAUGCCUGG
rnacentral:pre_miRNA from 1 species